CUUAAGGCAGCCUAAUACUUGUUAAAUACACCUUAAACUCUUCUUUAUUUACUCUUUAUUCUCUAGAUUACUGAUUCUAAUUCCUUUUUAUCUCAAGUACACAAACUCAAAGUGUUGUUGUACUAGACAAGGAUUAGUCUCACACUAGAAGCUUUCUCCUUCAUAUAAUCGAUUUACUCUCUAGUAUAUUCGGAUAUAUUUUUGGAUAUGUGUGUGGAUUCCAUCACAAGUUGAUGGUCUCUUCAUCUUAAGAUCGAGUUCCCUUGUAUGGUUAAAGAGAGAUUCAUUCACCAAGUGACUGUCUACUCUCUAUUGUGAGCUUAGUCUCAUAGAAACUAACAUGGUAUCAGAGCAAGUUGCUCUCUUGGUUCCUCAAGAACUCUAGAACUCGUUCUUAAAGCAUUCUCUUUCUUUGUUGUUUUUAAAAGUCUUUCUCUCCCACCUCUUGUUGUUGAAAGCUUGUUCUUGGUACUGUUGUAAUGCCCACGUUCAAGCUUGAGGGGGAGAGAGAUCUUUGUUUUGGCAUCUCCAUAUAGCUUAGUCCAUUGGAUAUAAGCUUGUUUCUAAAGAUGCAUCUUUGUAACCGUUGGACAAACUGUUUUGUUCCAAAGGUUUCUUUUGCUUUUCUUUACAACUAAGGCCACGAAAAUCAUCUUCUAUAUGGUAUUUCGUGGUUCAUGUUGAUUUAAAGCCACUGGAAAACUCUUGUUCAUAUGUUAUUUCAGUGGGUUCAUGUCUUUAACCGAUGGGUAAAUCGAUCGCCCAUCGGUCCAUUAUGUUUCAGCCAUUAAAGAACCAAACUCUUAAUGAUUCUUGGAUGCUCUUGGCUGUUAAAGUGUCUUUAAAACUCAAGAAAACAGAGAAAAACUCUGUCCAUUUGAACUCUUGAGCAAAUUCUCUAUUCUCUUUUACUUAUGCUCAUUCUAUGUGCUUCCGCUAUUCUUCUUUACUUAUGUUCAUUCUCUUUUCUUGCGCUUAUACUCUAUAAUCUCUUGUUACUUAUUCUUUAUCAUUCUCUUAUACUCUUGUUAUAUAUUCUCUCUCUCUCUUUAUUUUCAGUAUUUUACUCUCUAAUCUCUCACCAUCUCUUGUUUAGAAUCUGUUCGUAUAAGUCUAAAACAGGUUCAAUCGUUGAAGAUGGUGAGUUUGCUGUCUCAAGAUGGCACAACACAAUGUUUGUAGUUAGAACCAAGGGCCACCAAGCUUUAGAAACCAAAAGAACGUACAACCUAGUUAAAGCUCCGGAAGAUACAAGGGUAAACCCGAGAGACUUACCGAGAGGGAAUGCUUUGGUUGUGGUUCUUGUGGAGAGGCCUAAUGGAAAGGCAAGCUGGUGGAAGGUGAUGAAUCAGCUCAAAAGCAUGUGUGUUAGUGUCAAGUUGUUGGAGUUCAAGAUUGGAUGUGCACUAGAUGUCAAGCCAUCCUAGGCACAAGGUCUCUUGACUCAAGACAUGGCCCAAGCCAUGAACAAAUCAAGAGAGUGGUCCCAAAGAGGAUUUAAACCACAUCUCUAAAUUUAAAGGCUAACUUCUAAAAUCUCUCUUUUAAAUUUAAAUUCAUCUUUUUCAAGUAUUGAAACUUGAAUUUCAAAUUUGAAUUUAUUUAAAUUUAAAUUUAAAUAUUUAUAUUUAUUUGAAAAUAGUUUAAAUUUGUUUUUGAAAAUAUUUGAAAUAUUUCACAUUCAGUUUAAAUAUUUUCAUAAAAUAGAUAUAGUAUUUAAAAGAGAAAUAAAGUUUCAUUCCUAAAGUUCUAUGAAUUCUCUCAUUUGGUUUCUCAAGUUUUAUUAAGUGUUUUUCUUAAAACCCCACAACAUAUACUUUAAAAUUUUUUCUUUAAACUCAUGUUGAAGGUUUAAAGGAGAGGAGGCAUGUGUGGACAUUCUCAAAGAGAAACACAAGAUGAGGCAAAGAGGUCCAUAAAAAGAGAAAUCAAGUCAUGAAGGACUAAAAGAAAUGAAAACUCUUAGAGGAAGAAGCCAAUGCUUGGUAUCCAAGCAAAUUCUCUGUCAAAGCGUCCUAAAGAGUUACUCGUACGACGGCCUUCCGCUGGGAUUUAUCUUCCACGUUCUUCAUAAAAGUUCUUGGAAAUUGAGUAAGCUUUCCAGUGAAAGUAAGAUCACCCACACCGGAGCUGUCGAUCGAAAGUUAUGCCCGAUAUAAUGGACAUAUAUCAAUCUGACGCGACAGAGAAGAAGCAAUCGACCAUUGAGGUCGGUUAAGGUAUCGAUUGGCCAUUGCCUGGCCACGAAGAGAGCUUCAAAAGAAGCCAAAUUGGAGCCCUUGAAACCUAAGAAGCGGUCAUGAAAGAAGCCUUAGAAGACUAGUCUUGAUGUUGUUCCAAGAAGGGAUAAUGAAGGAGGAUUAGCUUUAAGAGCUAAUGGCUGCUAGACUUGGUGUUGUCAAGAAGUUUCAAAGAAAGUUACAAAGUAGAAGAAUCCAGCCUAGUCAAGCUCAAGACAGUCCCAAAGGAAGACCCAAAGUGGUGAACCUAAGAGGCUGACCAAAAGAGGAGGCUAAGGUGGAAUAAGCUAGAGCUCUUGGUCUAGCUCGAGCUGUUUGAUCGAGCUCCUUGUUGAGUUAGACAAACGGAUACAUUGAAUCGAUCAAGUGCAACAUUUACAUGAUCGAGUGUUUUAUCGACUUGAUCGAAUGAGGCUAAUGAUGCGAUCAAUGUUGUGGAAAUGAAGAAGGGUGUGCACAAGCUUUCAAGAUUGGCUCUCAUUAAACUUUCAAGCCAACCUUGAGGGGGAGAAAAGUUUCAACAACCCUUAUAGAUAUCUAGAAGAUUUUUCCCACAAGAGGUCUCAUUCAAGAUUUGCAACCAUUUUCUAUCCAAGCAAACUUGAAUUGAAGAAAUGCUCUAUCUCUCUCUCAUGCUUAUGGAAGCUACAAAGAAGAUAGAAAGAAUCAAGACAAGCGUGUGGAGUUUAGAGCCGGUUAUAACCAACCACAAUACUAAAACUCCGGCGGUACAAAGGAUGACCCGAGGGAAGAAUGUAGAUGGCUCUCUCAAGCGUGGUGAACCUAUUUAAGCUGACCGAGAGAGAUAAAGCUAGAGGGAAGGACUCGUGAAGGUCCAAGGCUGGUGGUAAACCGAUGGAUCAUCUCCCUCACGUUUUGGUGCUUAUAUGCAAUGAGGAGCUACGAAAGAAGCUCCAAUGAUCCUACAAGGAAGCGGCUGAAGAAGAAGUCCCCAAGCCAACCAUGAAGCUGAUCCAAAUUUGGAUGUAGAAGAGGUGGAUUGAGUUGUCUUGUAGUCAUCAACCAUGAAGAGGAGACCCAUGGGGCAGAAACUCAAAUGGUGGUGCAAAACAAGUCUCAACCAAUACAUUACAACAAUGAACACAAAAGGCUAUCUCUAAACCCCUUAACUCUUUUAAUAUCUUUAAUUCAUUGCUCUUAUUUUAUUCAGAUUAGUCAUGCAUUUAAAGUGAAUUUUUCAUGCUUAGAAUCUUAAUUUAGAGAAAAAAAUUUCGGAUUUGUUUUUAGAGAAAUGCCUUGAAUUAAUUUGGAUUUAUCAUGCUUAAUUUGUCAUGUUUAGAACAUGUUUUUUUUUAGGAAUUAAAUUCAUGACUAUUAAACUGGUUGGUUCAUUAUUAAACUGAAUUUGCAAGUUUAAAAUCUGAUUUUAUACUCAUGUGUUUAAAUUGAGCUUAGUAAAAGACUAGUUCAAUUUAAGUGUGUUCUCUUUAAUCUCAAAACUAGCGUAGUGUUAUUCUUGUGGCCGAUAUACUUAAGAUUUCUUUACAUCUUUUUGAAGGUACAAAAGAGAAAGAAAGCCAUCCAAAAGCUAUAUGAGAAAAAGAGAACCGGGUUGAUCAUUCUAGCUUGACUCAAGGAAGAUCAAUUCAUGGUGGUGACCGAGAAGGAUAAGGUCCUCAAGCGAGUACUCACACGGAGAAUUAGAGUCUCCACAAGAAGUCAAAGCUAGAAGCCAAAGCAAUCUCACGUUCAAACCAUGGCCAUAGCUACAUCAUUCAACCGUGAAGACUAUACUCUUUUUCCCUUAACAAAGUUUUGUCCCAAGAGGUUUACUUUGUUAAGGUUUUUAAAGAGGUAGUCCUUUGCGUGUUGCAAGCUUGGCCUUUGGUUCCCGCUGCCCAAGCUUGAGGGGGAGUAUUAGAGAGGAAGAAGAAAAGGAGAACCUAAAGAUGAAGUCUAGAAGAAGAGGUCGAGCUUAAUGGUGUUCAAUGAAGUGUGACACUCAACAUGGCUCGUGUAUCUCCAAGCUUAACCUCCGAUGUCUCUACACUUAAGCUUGAGGGGGAGUAUUGAGACCUAAUGUGCAAAGUUAGGGUCAAAGUUAUGAAGACCUAAUGUGCAAAGUUAGGGUCAACGACUCAAGACACAAAAGUGCAAAGUUCGGGUCAAGUCAUCAAGACAAGAUACGAAUGUGCAAUGUCCGGGUCAAACAUAAGAUGUGCAAAUCUAGGGUCAACAUAUGAAGAUGAAGAUGUGCAAAACAAGGGUCAAUACAUGAAGAUAAAGAUGUGCAAAACACGGGUCAUUACAAGACCUAAUGGGCGUGCAAAACAUCUAGAAGAUCACAUGUUGUACUAAGGAAUGCAAGUGGGUGAGAAGAGUCACAUGUGAGCUUAAGAAAGGUCACAUGUGACCAAAGAGACGUUGGAGAGCUGUCACUUUCAUCCUUGGGCGCUCAAAGCUUCUUUCCCUCUCUCCUCAUGUCACUUUCACUUCAUUUGUAAAAGAGAAAACCCUAGAGCUCCUCCUCUGUAUAUUGUAGUAGCCUCCCUCCUUUGUAAGGUGCUAAUUCACAAGUUUAUACAAGUAUUUUGUUUAUCAAAUUCGUCCAUCUCUUCUCUCUACAUUUGCUUAACUAAUAAUCAUAAUGUAGAUAGCUAGAGUGUAACGAUUUAGGGGCUGCCCUUAAGGCAGCCUAAUACUUGUUAAAUACACCUUAAACUCUUCUUUAUUUACUCUUUAUUCUCUAGAUUACUGAUUCUAAUUCCUUUUUAUCUCAAGUACACAAACUCAAAGUGUUGUUGUACUAGACAAGGAUUAGUCUCACACUAGAAGCUUUCUCCUUCAUAUAAUCGAUUUACUCUCUAGUAUAUUCGGAUAUAUUGUUGGAUAUGUGUGUGGAUUCCAUCACAAGUUGAUGGUCUCUUCAUCUUAAGAUCGAGUUCCCUUAUAUGGUUAAAGAGAGAUUCAUUCACCAAGUGACUGUCUACUCUCUAUUGUGAGCUUAGUCUCAUAGAAACUAACAUGGUAUCAGAGCAAGUUGCUCUCUUGGUUCCUCAAGAACUCUAGAACUCGUUCUUAAAGCAUUCUCUUUCUUUGUUGUUUUUAAAAGUCUUUCUCUCCCACCUCUUGUUGUUGAAAGCUUGUUCUUGGUACUGUUGUAAUGCCCACGUUCAAGCUUGAGGGGGAGAGAGAUCUUUGUUUUUG
rnacentral:lncRNA from 1 species